CCUCUCCUGGUGUGGGCUGUAAUUAGGUCAGUGUAAGUUAAAGUAGGGCUGAGAGAGGAAUAAAGUGGAUUUUCUCCUCUGGAACACACUGCAGUUUAAUUUCACUUCUUUCUGCAGUGUGCGGCGAAGGUGGACUUAACUUUUAAAGGUAAAGAGACAAGCCACUGCCAGGAUAAAUGAAAAGACGCAGAGGGGGCAACUGGCAGCACACGGGAGAGGAAAUGCUUUCUGGCUGGUUCCUAAUUUUCAUAUCCGGGUUAUCGUCAGAAAUCAUUUUCAGAGACUACAUCUUGAACCAGUGUUGACUCAAGCAGAUGAGCACACCUGGGAGGGAUUUUCAAGAUUGGACCAAGGGUGGAAAGAUCCAACAUUAACCUAGGCCACACUUUCUGGUGACAUCUCACCUAGAAGGACGAGGAAGAAUGAAGCUUUUCAUUUGACUUGCCUAUCCUUACUCUCAGUGGCUACUUAAUUUCUGUUGCGGAGACAUUCCAUUGUUGAUAUUAGAACCUACUUCGUCAGAAUUCCACACGACACUCAUGACCUUUGGAACUCUAGCACCAGAUUGGGACUACCGAGACAUUCAGUCUUAUGGGUUGAACAACUAUCGCGAUUUUUGGCUUGUACAUUGUGAGACAGCCAUUGGUGAACUAGGAGACCACACCCUGUAAGAGUUCCAUGCAAGCGUCAAAUCCUAUGGGCAACAUGAAGAGUUAGUUCUGAUUUACUUACUGCACUCUUACUCAACAUGGACCCAGUGGCAUAAAGGAUAAACCAGCUUUGAGAAACAGUUUUUGCUCUCAGGAAACAUAGUCCUGCCUUUUUUUCUUGUGAAGCAAAGUCUACAGAAGGAGUGCCAUUAGCCAUUCAGAAGGCGGCUUGUAUGGUAGUUUGUGCUCCAGGAAAUGAUUGACCACCUAUAGGAAGAUACAAGUGUGAGCAUUCUGAAGUUUGCACUCCCUAACUUCUUUCCUGCUACACUGGUGCAGGCUGUACCUGUCUGCAUUUGACCCAAGAGCACACACUCAAAUUUAUCUUCCAAUCAUAAUUCUCCACAAUCCAUGAAACUUCUUUGCUGCCCUUCCCUGAAUCCUUAAGCAAACCUUCAGGUUCUACCUUACAAAGGCAUAUCCUGAUGUCCACAGCAAUCUGUAACCAAAAAUGAAAUUCUAAGAACAAAAAAGAGUUUGUUGUUGUUACUUUGUUUGUUGUUUUACCAACCAGAGGACUUAAGCCAUACUGCUCUUGCAAAUCUUGCCCAUAGUUCCCAGAUUGAUUUGAUUUGAUUGGCUCAUUAUUCUGAAAAUCCUUAUUCAGGUUGUGGCUUUUUAAAAAAUUCUGCCUUAAUGCUAUGGGAGUUUCUAACAAGAUUUUUUUUUGUCUCUUUAGCAUUUGGAUCUGUUAGAUCUUUACAGAAUUUAUAUUCCCUCUUUAACCACUUUAUGUAUUUUUAUUCCUUCUAGGACUCCUAUUUCAGGCAAUCGCAUAUCUAUUUUUGAUUUUUUUGACACCACAAGUUUUAAUCCUUCGUCUAUAUACUUUAACUGUCUUGGUAAUUUCUUGAAGAGUUUUUAAGCUCUGUAUUCCUGUUCAAUAAAAUACCACUUGGCAUUGAAUUAUUCUGCUGUAAAAAUCUUCCUACUGAAGUUUGUACAUUCAGUAUAAUUCUAUUUUUAUAAAGACUAUUUCUUUUUGGUUCUUCUUUACAAUUUUUUCAUGUUAUUUUAUCCCACCAAAAUGUUUUAUAUUUGCUCCCCCCGCCCAAGGUAUUCCAAUACUUGGUUCCUAUCCCGGUACACUAACAAUUUAUAAUUUGUGGGGAAUUAUCAAGCAGGGAAGUAGAAAAUAGGAUCCGAAUAUAAACCCUGAAGCUAAAAGUGCAUGAUCCAAGGAGUUUGAUGCUGAGUUGAAAGUACAUAAGAACAGAUCAAUUGCGCUGAGAAUUUUCUACUCCAUGUUUUUAAUCACCCUCACAUUGUGGUUGUUUAUAUAUUAUCUGGUGAGAUCAUAUCUACCCUUAUAUACUAUAUUUCUCCUGUGUUUGGUAUUCUUCCAACUCUUCAUAAAUAUGUCAAAGAACACACAUUAGGCACCUGGUGAUUUGGAAGACCCCCUUGAUUUAACUUCACCAUGAUUAUCUUCAGAAAAAGAUUCUAUUAGGUAUUUGACAUUCUCUACAGUAAAGUUAAUUUAUGCCAAGCAUUACUAAAUAUUGGUACAAUAUAUUUUUCCCUUCUCUUGUCAGAUUUAUCCUUUUGGAAGAUAAUUCCAUAACUUAAAGUAAUGGGUUUAACAUUAAAUUUUUCUGUUUUAAUAUUACUUAUCUACUUCUCCUUAGAAAUUGCGGGAUAUGUGUAGAGGAGACCAUACAACAUCAACCCCUUGUGAUGUCAUGAGGUUCUGCUGU